UUAAACUGAAGAGUUUGAUCCUGGCUCAGAUUGAACGCUGGCGGCAUGCCUUACACAUGCAAGUCGAACGGCAGCACGG
rnacentral:rRNA from 1 species